UUCAUUUAUUCUUAAUGAAAGUACAUUACAUAGUCCGUUUUAGGGAUUGGCUACUUACCCAUUCAGUGACUUUGGCACUGGACGUUCAAAAAAU